GGAGCGUCCCGGCUUCUCCCGCGCGGGGGGCGAGUAAGCCAGCGGCAGGACCAGCGGGCGGGGGCCCACGAACACAUGCCUCACUCCUGUCAGCAGUUCCACCUUUUCAUGGUUGAGGAGCACAUGUGGUCGCCAGCCUCCCAUCUCCAGAGUCCCCUAAGGCAAGGUGACUCACCCUCCUACUUCACAGAGUUCUUGGUCCUCCCCAGACAGCCUUUGAAGGUUCCUUUCAAUCCUGCGAUUUCAUGACCUGGUUUCUAGAUCCCCAGUGGAUUAGAAAGGACUGAAGGACUUUUACAGGCUAACAGCAAGAAGAACAAAGUAACUGCAAAAUAGACGGAGAAUUCUUGAAGACGGUAGCUCUUGGUCACCAUAAGCGCUGCAGAGACCCCGAGGUCCACAUUCUGUUGUAGGUCAGAGCCCAGCACAACAACCCUUCUUCUGGUUCAGCCGCCCAGCGGUUAUGUGGGGUACGGGAAAGAUGAUCCAGCCAUGCAGGAGAGCACCAGUGGUUCUGUGAGGAUUUUACUUCAAAAUACAAAAGCUGGCAGGCUGACAGAGGCGGCCUCAGGACGGACCUU
rnacentral:lncRNA from 1 species